AAACAUUAAUGAUUAAUUAAUAGGUUUAAUUGUCAUAUCAAAUAUGAAUAUACGAUAUUAAUGACUAAUUAACGACUUUUUUUGCCUAAAAAUAAAUAGGGUGUUGCUCUCUCCACCUCUUCUUUUCCACCCUCCACCUCCUUAGGUUUCUACUUUUUUUUUUAUUUUAUUACAAAAAUAUCCUUUUUCUUUUACUUUUUUAACCUUUUUAUUUUUUUUUACAUUUUUUAUUUUAGUUAUUUACUAGGAGUAAUGGUCAAACCCUAUGUUAACUUUUACUUUCUCCUCUCACUCACAGUCUCACCUCUCUCAAGAUUGAGAUUCGCCUCCCAAGAUUGAGAUUUGCCUCUUCUCCCAGCUCCGUCAUACUCUUUUCUUCUCUCUCGCUGCAAACUCUCCAAAAGCACUUUCCCCAUCCCUCUUUCUUUGUUCAAUUUCCGAUCUCUCCUUUUUGUUCAACUUAAUAUCUCUUGCUCAUCAGAAGCUUCAAGCUUCUUUCUUCUCCCACUCUUUCUCAUGGACAGCCGAAUCUUAGGACUAUGCGUCUCGAGCAAGGCACAAUCUCACGGCGAGAAGGGGCGGCAUUAUGCGAGGCAUGGCAAGGGCGUCCUGCAGCGUUGGCGUUUCUGCAAGGGUUCCAUAUUCGACAUCUUCACGAUGCGAGAAGCCCUGUUUGAUGGCGACGUCGUGGAGGAGAAGAGCGCGAUUGCGUUUGCGGUGUGGUGGCCUCUGUUAUCAGGUGGUUUCGCGACAACCGGACUUGUGGUCGUGGUGAUUCUAUGAGGGUGAUGAUGGUGCUGCGUGAAGGAGAUGCGCGUCGAAUUUGUGAUGAAGAUGAUGAGGGUGCGCGAUUAUGGCGGCGGCGCUGUGCUUCUGCUCUUGGAUCAUUUGAUGAUGGCGUGAUGAUUCAAUGCUGCGAAGAAGAUGCACGAGCUUGGUGUGGCUGGCUCGACGGUGGCGGCGAGGCAAUGGAGGUGGGGAGAGUUCGACGGAGAACAGGGGGAUCACGUGAAGGACUUCGUCAUUACAUGUUCACUUUGGGAUCAGAAAUUGAUUGUGAUAUAAGCAACCAAAAUGCGAGUAGCAGAGAAUGAGUGAAGAUGAUAAUAGAAAGGAUGUGUGAAGGGAGUAACAUGCAAUCCUCCCUUAAACGGAUACGAGGAUCCGUCUACGGAUGUCAACAUUCGUUUAAGGUAAAACAGAUGUCGACAUUCGCUUAUACCUUAAACGGAUGUUGACAUCCGUUGAUGGAUUCUCAUAUCCGUUUAGGAAGGUUUCAUGGGUUGUGGUCGCUUAUUCACACACUUUUUCUUAAAGUUUUUAUAGAUACCACCACCACCACUUCAACUUUGUUAUUCCUGUAAAAUUUUAACUUUAAAAAUAAACUUUUACUAAAAGGAUAAAAUAGAAAUAAAAAAAUAGAGGAAAGGGUAAAAGAGGAAGGGAGGAGGUGGAGGGAGCAAACCCCAAAUAUAUAUUGUAUUAAUAGAUAGCUAAUGGGCUUGGUUGCUAUGAAGCUUAAAGUAAAGAGAUUUUUUUCCAAAAUCACAUUAAGACCUCAUUAAGAAGGAUAUCUAACUUGAACGUCAGAAUUUUUUUACAGGUCAACAACCGAUCGAUGUGAAACAUGCUCUUGAGGAAUCUUGAACGAUUGGAACACAAGACAAAACAAGGAAGGACAACCGACUUUCAUACCCUUACAAUCGAAACAAAAUAUAUAUUUUUAUAAUUUUUUUUUAAAUAAAAACUUGUUUCAACUUGUUUUAUCUAUCGGUGUGAGGUGACUAAUUAUGUACACAAAGAAAUAUUUACAUUUAUGUAUGCUUUGAAUAAGUUUAGGUUGGAUUUUGUAUUGAUAUAAAUAAUUUAUUUUUAAAAGUGUUACAUGGUAAC